rnacentral:misc_RNA from 1 species
AAGACGGCACCACUUACAGAAAGGUAAGUUCCAAAGUAACGAUUAUGUAUCUGAACAUUAACUGGUUUUAGCUUGCUGCAAGCUGGUGAGGAUGGAUCCGAACGUUAGAUUUUUAUUUGCUGGUUAUUAUUAACGCCGUUUUAGAUACUUGAAGUAGAUCUAAUAUUUGCAUUUCUAUUUGAAAAAUAUUUUCCGGUGACCUGAGCUGCGAAAUCAAUGUUUAUUGGGGCUGCCAUGGCUGCUGGCUUGUUUCCCGUUGCUAACGUGUGCCGGGUUAAUGGUGGCGUAUAAAAGCGAGGGCCAGAAUCAUCGCCAGAAAAAGAAAGUAGCGCAUACUGAUGGACGGUUGGGAUUGGUUUUGGUUAGUUCCGUAUGACGUUAGAUCGUAUUGGUUCUACUUUUUGAUUUUCUGUUUUUUGUCUUUUUCAAAGCGCGAAACACAAUUUUCUUUCUUAAGAUUCGGUCUGGAUUCGAUCCUUGUAUACAAACACGGUAAACAGUAACUCAGACAUGGCGCAGACACUUUUUUCAGACGAACAUGUCCAUUUCUCUCUCAUCGGGAGGCACUAAGUUCAGUAAAUUCAAGGGGCGGUUUCGUCAUUGCAGAGCAUAAUCCAUCUUCUUGAUUGAACUUUGGCUUUGCAUGCUUUAACGCAAGUCUGAUGUUUCGUUUUUUGCUCUCUGCUUCAACUCCUGAUCUUCUGACUUUGUUGCAAUUUUUUGUGAAUAAUCUUUUUCUAGUUCUCUUUUGCUAAUUAUGAAAUGCAAUAGCCAUUUUUGUCAUUCUCAUUCCAUGAAAAAUUGGGUGUAAAUGUAAUUUACCCCGAUAUUCCCGGGGGUAAUAGUAAUAAUUUAUUUGAUUUUUACUGUUAAGGACAUGACAUAUGAAGUUGAUUGUGGUGAUAAAGUUGAAACAAGAGUGGUCUUAAUUGCAUAAAUUAAGAAGAAAGGAGUGCAGAGAUCAAAUCCUUGGAUACCCUUUUUAUGAAAUACUGUGAUUGGAGGAAUAUUUUGAAAGUAGUAAAGUGUGUAGGAAAACUAUUUCAUAAGUGCAGGAACAUGUUGGGGGCGGGGAGAAGAGAUGGCGUGUCGUGGGGUGCUGUAUUUUGAUAACGCCAUUGUUUGACAUUAAUUCUUGCUUUAACAAAGUUUUUGUCGGGUUUCAAUUACAUUGUUGCCCUUCUGUCAUGUUGUUCAUUGCUUUGAUUAUGGGUACUUUGGAUGAAGCCUGUGGAAAUGGUGGCUCAAUGGGUCUCGCAGUGAUCACUUUAUGUGGUUCUGCGUAAUUGCAUGAACGAAAGACGGGCGGAAAAAAGAUACAGGUUCACACUGGAAGGGCUAUAGCACCGGGAGAUUUUAUUUCAUCCUAUUCUAUCAUCGGUGGGGUUGAAAACUUUUAAUUUAGAUAUUUAACUCUAAUGGCAAAUGCAGUUGGAGUCGGUCUUAGGUUAAUACUUAGGUGCUUGUGCUUUGUGGGAUGUACUAUGUCAAAUUGAGAGAUAUCAUUAAGGUAUGAAGCAACCAUCUCAAUGUUUAUGUCGAGUGGGCCCAUUAAAGCAGAUCAUGACAAGUGGCUGCAAACCUGUGGAACGCAUGGACAUUAUGGGAGGGUCUGCAUCAGCUAGUCCAUGCUCAUCCUACCAUCCAAGUCCAUGUGCAUCCUAUAAUCCAAGUCCUGGCUCAUCUUCUUUCCCUAGUCCUGUU